CUGUUCCCCGAGGGCACCAGCACUGGCCGACCGACCUGGCUUGGGGCGCGGCGCUGGCAAACCCGGCCUUCUGAGGGGACGCCACGCUGACUCUAGUGCAGGCAGCCCCCAAAACGAAAAUUCCAGGCCCAGAGGGCCAAGCUGGUGAAUCCUACUUAGAGAAGAAAUAAUAGGAAUCCAGCCACUCAGACGAUGGACGAGGAGGGGCACUUCCCUGCUCGAUGUAUGGGCCAGCAUUGCCUUGAUAGCAAAGUCAGACAUCACCAGACAGUAGAACCACAGACCAAUGUCUUUCAUGAACCAAGACACAGCAUUUAAAAAAAUUAGCAAAUGGAAUUUAUAUCUGCCUAUUGUUUACAAAAAAAGCCAAACUUUGUAAAAUACUUGAAGAGAUUUAUUCUGAGCCAAAUAUGACCCAUGACACAGCCUCAGGACGUCCUGAGAACUUGGCCCAAGGCGGUUGUUUUACUGCUUGGUUUUAUUCAUUUCAGGGAGACAUAAGACAUCAGUCAGUACAUGUGAGGUGUGCAUUGGAUUGAUCCAGAAAGUCAGGACGACUCCAAGUGGAAAGGCCUCCAGAGACAGGAGACAGUAAAAGAAAUGGCCUCUCUCCUCUGUCAGAGUGGAGUCCCGAGCUCCCAGAAAUGCCACAUGAUGGACAAACGCUUGGGGGAAAAAAAAAAAAAAGGAGACCUCAGUCGGACACAAAAGCAGGAGCUUUAAAAGAAAAAAUAAGAGAUAAGUUGAACUUCACCAAAAAAUAAGCGUUUCUGGUCUUUGAAAGACACUUAAAAUGAAAAGGCAAGCCAUCGAUGGGGAAAAUACUCAGAAUAAUGGAUCUGACAGAGGGCUGUAUCUAGAAUAUAUGAAGAUAUUUUAAAAUCCAGUAAUUUGACAUAAAGAUGGUAGCCAGCCUGACACACAAAGGAACCCGAAUGGCCAAUGGACAGGAAGGGAACCCGUAUGGCCGAUGGACAGAAAGGGAAGUGAACGUGAACAUCUCAUUGGGGAUGCCGUUAUCACCACUGGAAUAGUCAAAAACAUGGACACCAAGUAUUGGUGGGUGAGUGGAAUGGCGGGAACCCACAUACACGGUCGAUGGGAGCUGCACCCUUUGGAAAUCAUUUCACAGUUUGUGCUCCAUCCUGGCCAAACCCACAGCUGGAGUCUUUCCAAAAACAGUGACGGGAGUUUCCACCAGGGAGUGCCUCAAACCAUCCCGAGAUGGGGCUGGUUGGGAUUCCAGGGAGAGGCACUCGUUGCCAGGGUGAUCCGUCCAGAGCACUUCCUAGGGGAUCUGGCAUAAGGAGGGCUGCAGUGUAUCCUCAGGACAGAUAGGACAGAUAGUGUAUCUUUGGGACAGACGGCAAGAUGGGGAUUCCACCCAGGUCUGUCUGCAGCGAGUUGAUAUGAGAGUUUAAGGAAUUUGGACCAGGGCUGCUUUGUUUCAGGGUUUUGGGCAAUGACCUAAACACCUUUAUCAGUGCCUGGGAAUGCUCAAGGCCCAGCUUGAGUUCAGGCCUGCAGGGAAAACCUGCAACUGGCCGGGCUGCAGAGUGGUCAGGGCACGGAAAGCCAGAAGCUGGGGACACACCUGCUGUAUGAUCCAGCCGUUCGUCUUUACCUGGGAGAAAUGGCACCACCUGGCUGAACAUAACUUCUUACACUCCCAUGAGUCCUCCUGGACAGGUGCUGUGACCUCGUGCAGCCUUGGGGACCCUGACACUCCCACGGACAGGCCAAGGGGUUUGCCUGGGCCCUGUGGGCACAGAGCCCCUUGAGAUGGGUUUCCCUAUGCAGCCCCCCACCCCCCACCGGGGACCCAUGGCACUGCAGCCCUCACCCCCCCUCUAGGGACCCACAACACUGCAGCCCUCGCCCCCCUCCGGGGUCCCACAGCACUGCAGCCCUCGCCCCCCAUCGGGGACCCACAGCACUGCAGCCACGCCCAGGCCACCGCCUCCAAACACAGGGCCGCUGCUGUUUCUGUGAACAGAUACUUCUUGCAGAUGUCAAUGGUUAAUGGAUGGGGAGGUGACCGCCCAAGCAGAAGCCGACCCUCUUCAUGAAGGGGCCACAGGUCACCCCGAAGCAGAAAUCCAUAGAACAGCCAAGGCCACAGCGGAACCGAGCAGGCCACGCCUCUGCCUCUGGGCCGCUCAGGGCCAGGCCUCCCUGACCCCACUGGCUCUAUUGUGAGGACUCAGGGUGGAGCUCUGCUGGGCUCAGUGGCCUUCACAGCCGGGGUCCACAGACCCGGGUCCUACGGGCAGUACUGUGCUCACCUAGAGGCCACGGUCCAUGCCCUGUCUCCAGCAGGCCCAAGUCACUUGUCCAUGGCGAAGGCCCGGCCUUGCUUCAGGCCCCGGGCGCGCUCCCCCUGCUCCCCCUGCCCACCGUUUCUUCCCAGGUGACAGAGGCGGGAGAGCAGGCGAGCCACGUGCCGGGCGCCGCAGCAGGGGGCACUCCAGGCUGGCGCCCCUCUGCCUCUCCGUGGGCUCUGACCUUUCUUCUCCCUGCCUGGGCAGCCUCCUUCAGGUUGGGGAGUCUUUUGUUGACCCCUGGAUUAAAGUCCUAAUCAGGAAUGACCCGGAAGAGGUCUUAUGAGGCUUUCCUCAAGAGAAGAAAAUCUGUCCCUGAGUAUCAGGAAGUGGCCCCUUUCCCUGCACCGCAGUCUUCUGUGACCAGCGGCUCACACAGCGAAGGAGGGGCUGGCGGCCCCCACAGGCCACUGCCCCGAGGCCGCCACGAGAGGGCAGGAGAGCCCUUCCUGGGAGCUCUGUGCCACGGGGAAACGCAGCCCCGCCAAGCACAGCAUGGAUGUUUCCAGCAGGGAAUGAAGAGAGAGGCCCCAGCACAUGAGAGAAGAGCACACUGGGCGGCCCCUGUCGGAGCCUCUCCUGUCCCCAGCGACCCCUGAGAGCAGGCCCUGGGCCUCUGCGGCCCCUCCCGGAGCCACUCUUCAACUGCUGACCUGCUCCCAGCUCUUCUGUGCCCCGCCCAGCUCCCUGCAAAACCUCACCUGAGGGGAAGGAGGCCCUGUUUGGGCUCAGACGCAGCAGGUGCAGCUUGUGGUCCUGGGGCCACACCUGUUAGAGCCCAUCCUUCUACCCCUGCUGGGCCCUGAGUGUCGUCCGUCCCCACAGAACUCAGCAGGGUCAGGUCUGGGCACUCCAGGCCGCCAGCCCCCUGAGUGAGCCCUGGGCCGGAGGUAGUUGUGGGUCACAGGCACCCCAGCCAGAACACCCACAGUGGGUAGAUGUGUGGGGACCGGAUGUGGGUCCUCUCCUGAGAGACGUGCAGAUGGGGAGAGGCUGGGCAGUUCUCAGCACAGCUGGAGCAUCUACCUGUCACCACCUCGGAGCCUCCUGGCCCCGUGGGGGCGGCCCUGGGAGCAGGGUCGGCAGUGAAGAGCAGAGAAAGGCAGUUGGGGAUGUUGCCACUGUCCCCCGAGACCACCCUGCCAUGGAGACGAGGGAGCUGUCCCUUCGCGGAAGGGGGCUGGCCAGCAAGAAGGACAGAGAGUGGACUGGCCGAGGACCGCUGAGCUCAGGACCCAAGGAGGACUCUUCUAGGAGACGAGAGAGCGAACGCCAGGGACCCUGUGCAGGCCUGCUCCUCCGUUUGCAAGGCUCCCUCCCCGAGGCCGUUCAGAAGCAUUCCUCAGCGGGUCCUACACGUUUCCUCUCCCAUGUCAAGUUUAGAAGCAGUGUCAAGACCCACAGCAGUCCUGCGGGAGUUUUAAGGGAUGCACGGAGUUUAUGGGGACAGUUUGGAAAAUUGACAUUCAUGUGACUUAGAGUCCUACUACUUGAAAAUGGAUUCCAGCUCUCAACGAAUUUAGAGCUUUGGCAAAAUUUUUAAGAUUUCUUUGAUGUCCGAUGUGCUCAUUUCUUGGUUUGUUCUUGAGUAUUUUGUGGAUUUUUAUGAAAUCCACAAAGUUUUUGUUAUAAUGAAUGGGACACUUUCCCAUAAAAUGUUGUAAUUCUGUAUUGCUGUUUUAGUAAACACUGUUGAUUGAUGUAUAUUGAUGUUACACUUGGUCACUUGUAAUAGUUUGUCCGUUCAUUAUUUUGAACUUUUUAGGUAAACAGUCAUAUAAUUAUGCAAAUAAUUAUAGUUGUGUCUCUGCCUUUCUAAUAUUUAUACUUUGUGUAUAUUAUCAUGUUGGCCAGGACUCAAGCGUCUUUCUCUUGUUUCUGACUAAUGCGAAUGAUUCUAAUGCAGGGGUUUCCAAACUGGUGGCCGGGGGGCCAAAUCCAGCCAAUGGUCUCUUCUUGUAAAUAAAGUUUUAUUGGAACACAGUUACACACAUUUUUCUACAUAUUGUCUGAUGGCUACUGUCACGCCACAGCAAUGCUGUUAAAUAGUCCAGACAGAGGCGGUAUUGCCCGAAAAACCUAGAAUAUUCACCAUCUGAGCUUUUACGGGAAAAUUUGCUAAUAUCUGUUCUCAUGCAUUAAAUACAAUGUUUGUUACAGGUUAAGGAAGUUUCUGACUAUUUUUAGCUUUCUGAAUAUCUUGUGGUUGUGUGUGCUUUAAAAUUAGGACUAAAUAUUAAAUUUACCAGUUGCUUGUUAGGGGCCUAUCUUUUGAGAUGCCCAAAGUUUCCCUUUUUUAGUCUCUUCAUGUAGUGAGUUGUACUAACAGAUUCUCUAAUGUUGAACCGUCUUUGCUUUCCGGAGAUAGACUUUACUUGCUCCUGGUGGAUUGGAUUCUGUUUGUUAAUACUUUUAUUUUUGGGUAAUUACAUCCCUAUUAUAAAUAAUAUGUCAGCAUCAUUGUGUGUAGAUGUGUGUGUGUUAUUCUUGCCAUUAGUUUCUCAGGUUUUUGGUUAACUAUUGAUAUGGUUUGGAUCUGUGUCCCCACCCAAAUCCGAUGUUGAAUUGUAAUCCCCAGUGUUGGAGGUGUGGCCUGGUGGGAGGUGGUUGGAUCAUGGGAGUGAAUUUCUCAUGA
rnacentral:lncRNA from 1 species